GAUGAACGCUAGCGAUAGGCCUAACACAUGCAAGUCGAGGGGCAUCACAUGAAGUAGCAAUACGGAUGGUGGCGACCGGCGCACGGGUGAGUAACACGUAUGCAACCUGCCUUCAACAAGGGGAUAACCCGUUGAAAGACGGACUAAUACCCUAUAACACAGGGGUCCCGCAUGGGAAUAUUUGUUAAAGGACAACCGGUUGAAGAUGGGCAUGCGUUCCAUUAGCUAGUUGGCGGGGUAACGGCCCACCAAGGCAACGAUGGAUAGGGGAACUGAGAGGUUUAUCCCCCAACUGGUACUGAGACACGGACCAGACUCCUACGGGAGGCAGCAGUGAGGAAUAUUGGUCAAUGGACGCAAGUCUGAACCAGCCACGUCGCGUGAAGGAAGACGGCCCUAACGGGUUGUAAACUUCUUUUAACGGGAAUAAAGUGCCCCACGCGUGGGGUUUUGCAUGUACCGUAUGAAUAAGGAUCGGCUAACUCCGUGCCAGCA
rnacentral:rRNA from 1 species